rnacentral:rRNA from 1 species
UACGUAGGGGGCAAGCGUUGUCCGGAUUUACUGGGCGUAAAGAGCGUGUAGGCGGCCAGACCGGUCCGUUGUGAAAACUGGAGGCUCAACCUUCAGACGUCGACGGAAACCGUCUGGCUAGAGUCCGGAAGAGGAGAGUGGAAUUCCGUGGUGUAGCGGUGAAAUGCGCAGAUAUCAGGAAGAACACCGAUGGCGAAGGCAGCUCUCUGGGACGGUACUGACGCUGAGACGCGAAAGCGUGGGGGAGCGAACAGG